UACGAAGGGGGCGAGCGUUGUUCGGAAUUACUGGGCGUAAAGGGCGCGUAGGCGGCCGAUCAAGUCAGAUGUGAAAGUCCUGGGCUUAACCUGGGGACUGCAUUUGAUACUGAUUGGCUUGAAUUCGGGAGAGGAUAGCGGAAUUCCCAGUGUAGAGGUGAAAUGCGCAGAUAUCAGGAGGAACACCGGUGGCGAAGGCGGGUCUCUGGGCAGUAACUGACGCUGAGGAGCGAAAGCGUGGGGAGCGAACAGG
rnacentral:rRNA from 1 species